GACUCUCACCUAUAGACAUCUCGGCUCUUACAUCGAUGAACAACAUGACGAACUACGAAACUUAAUGUGAAUUACAGAAUUCCGUAAACAUGAAACCUUUGACCGCAUGUUGCACUUGAAACUAGUUGAUCAAGAGCACAUUUGUUUGGGUGUCA
rnacentral:rRNA from 1 species